rnacentral:rRNA from 1 species
AGUGAACGCUGGCGGUAGGCCUAACACAUGCAAGUCGAACGGCAGCACAGUAAGAGCUUGCUCUUACGGGUGGCGAGUGGCGGACGGGUGAGGAAUACAUCGGAAUCUACUUUUUCGUGGGGGAUAACGUAGGGAAACUUACGCUAAUACCGCAUACGACCUACGGGUGAAAGCAGGGGAUCUUCGGACCUUGCGCGAUUGAAUGAGCCGAUGUCGGAUUAGCUAGUUGGCGGGGUAAAGGCCCACCAAGGCGACGAUCCGUAGCUGGUCUGAGAGGAUGAUCAGCCAAACUGGGACUGAGACACGGGCCAGACUCCUAAGGGAGGCAGCAGUGGGGAAUAUUGGACAAUGGGCGCAAGCCUGAUCCAGCCAUACCGCGUGGGUGAAGAAGGCCUUCGGGUUGUAAAGCCCUUUUGUUGGGAAAGAAAAGCAGCAGGUUAAUACCCCGCUGUUCUGACGGUACCCAAAGAAUAAGCACCGGCUAACUUCGUG